CGGGUGAGUAAUGUAUGGGGAUCUGCCUGAUGGCGGGGGAUAACUACUGGAAACGGUAGCUAAUACCGCAUAAUGUCUGCGGACCAAGGCGGGGGACCUCCGGGCCUCGCGCCAUCAGAUGAACCCAUAUGGGAUUAGCUAGUAGGUAAGGUAACGGCUUACCUAGGCGACGAUCCCUAGCUGGUCUGAGAGGAUGAUCAGCCACACUGGGACUGAGACACGGCCCAG
rnacentral:rRNA from 1 species